UGAGUAACCUGCCCUUAACUCUGGGAUAAGCCUGGGAAACUGGGUCUAAUACCGGAUAUGACUCCUCAUCGCAUGGUGGGGGGUGGAAAGCUUUUUGUGGUUUUGGAUGGACUCGCGGCCUAUCAGCUAGUUGGUGGGGUAACGGCUCACCAAGGCGACGACGGGUAGCUGGUCUGAGAGGAUGGCCAGCCACAUUGGGACUGAGACACGGCCCAGACUCCUACGGGAGGCAG
rnacentral:rRNA from 1 species